AAGCCAAGCACUGAACACAAAGCGAACUAUUCUUUCGCCUUUUACUAAAGAAUUCCGUGUGUUCAUUGCAAUACGUGGCAUACGCCUAUUUUUGUUUUUGUUGGGUCCUCUAAAUGGAACCA